rnacentral:tRNA from 1 species
GUGGGCGUAGCUCAACUGGUUAGAGCACCAGAUUGUGGAUCUGGAGGUUGGGGGUUCAAGUCCCCUCGCUCACC